rnacentral:rRNA from 1 species
UACGGAGGGUGCGAGCGUUGUCCGGAAUCAUUGGGCGUAAAGGGCGCGUAGGUGGCCCGGUCAGCGUGCGGUGAAAGCUCGGGGCUCAACCCCGAGUCGGCCGUGCGAACUGCUGGGCUGGAGCACUGUAGAGGCAGGCGGAAUUCCGGGUGUAGCGGUGGAAUGCGUAGAGAUCCGGAGGAACACCAGUGGCGAAGGCGGCUGCCUGGGCCUGGCCUGACGCUGAGGCGCGAAAGCGUGGGGAGCAAUCCGG